rnacentral:rRNA from 1 species
CCUACGGGUGGCAGCAGUGGGGAAUAUUGCACAAUGGGGGAAACCCUGAUGCAGCGACGCCGCGUGAAGGAAGAAGGCCUUCGGGUCGUAAAGCUCUGUCCUAAGGGAAGAAUACUGACGGUACCUUAGGAGGAAGCCCCGGCUAACUACGUGCCAGCAGCCGCGGUAAUACGUAGGGGGCUAGCGUUAUCCGGAAUUACUGGGCGUAAAGGGUGCGUAGGCGGCCCUUCAAGUCAGAGGUGAACGGCUACGGCGCAACCGUAGUAAGCCUUUGAAACUGUAGGGCUUGAGUGCAGAAGAGGAGAGUGGAAUUACCCGUGUAGCGGUGAAAUGCGUAGAUAUUGGGAAGAACGCCAGUUGCGAAGGCGGCUCGCUGGACUGUAACUGACGCUGAGGCACGAAAGCGUAGGGAGCGAACAGGAUUAGAUACCCCAGUAGUC